rnacentral:rRNA from 1 species
GCAUCUGACCGGCCUUGAAAGAGGUUUUCCCUUCGGGGCAGAUGUGUAGGUGCUGCAUGGUUGUCGUCAGCUCGUGCCGUGAGGUGUCGGCUUAAGUGCCAUAACGAGCGCAACCCUCAUCAUUAGUUACCAUCAGGUAAGGCUGGGGACUCUAAUGAGACUGCCAUCGUAAGAUGUGAGGAAGGUGGGGAUGACGUCAAAUCAGCACGGCCCUUACGUCCGGGGCGACACACGUGUUACAAUGGGUGGUACAAAGGGCAGCUACCUGGCGACAGGAUGCUAAUCUCCAAAACCACUCUCAGUUCGGAUCGGAGUCUGCAACUCGACUCCGUGAAGCUGGAUUCGCUAGUAAUCGCGCAUCAGCCACGGCGCGGUGAAUACGUUCCCGGGCCUU